rnacentral:rRNA from 1 species
AGUGAACGCUGGCGGUAGGCCUAACACAUGCAAGUCGAACGGCAGCACAGUAAGAGCUUGCUCUUACGGGUGGCGAGUGGCGGACGGGUGAGGAAUCCAUCGGAAUCUACUUUUUCGUGGGGGAUAACGUAGGGAACCUUACGCUAAUACCGCAUACGCCCUACGGGUGAAAGCAGGGGAUCUUCGGACCUUGCGCGAUUGACUGAGCCGAUGUCGGAUUAGCUAGUUGGCGGGGUAAAGGCCCACCAAGGCGACGAUCCGUAGCUGGUCUGAGAGGAUGAUCAGCCACACUGGAACUGAGACACGGUCCAGACUCCUACGGGAGGCAGCAGUGGGGAAUAUUGGACAAUGGGCGCAAGCCUGAUCCAGCCAUACCGCGUGGGUGAAGAAGGCCUUCGGGUUGUAAAGCCCUUUUGUUGGGAAAGAAAAGCAGCAGGUUAAUACCCCGCUGUUCUGACGGUACCCAAAGAAUAAGCACCGGCUAACUUCGUG